UUUGUUUUUUUUUUUUCAUUUGUGUUUUGAGCUCUGUUCUGCAUAUUUUGACAAUUAUUCUCUAUGAUGUAAAUCCCAUCCAGACCCUCUUACUUGUGCAUUCAUAGGGGAAUGACUUUGUAAUAGGUUUUGUUUUAAACAAUAGUAUUAAUUAUAAAUGUUUCUUUAUUUGUAUAGAAAAUUACGUGAAAUUAUUAUUAUAUUGC
rnacentral:lncRNA from 1 species